ensembl:snoRNA SNORD116 Small nucleolar RNA SNORD116
GGAUCGAUGAUGACACCCUCAUAUGCAUUCCUUGGAAAAUCUGAACAAAAUGAGUGAGAACUCACUACCGUCUCCUCAUCGAAACUGAGGUCC